GCGGCGUUUCGAUAACAAAAUAGUAGUAUACAAUAAUAUCAACACCGCGACUCGAGCGCGAAAACUCCGCGGACGUCGUAAAUAUAUUGUGUCCCGCUGGUUUUGAUACGCCGUUUAAAAAAAAAAAAAAAAAAUAAUAAUAAUAAUAAUAAUAAUAAUAAUGCAUAUUAGUGAUGUCAGACAUGUCCGGAUACCAAUGUAAAUUCGGAUGAUCCGAAUAAUUCGAAUGCCUUUGAUUUGAUCUGCAGUGGUGCAAAUAGGGGACGUUCUUAUCGGCCUCACAAAAAUGGCAUUUGUAUCAGUAGUGCACAACGACAUAAUCACUCACAGAUACCCGCGUUGUUUAAAAUUAAUAACGCAAUUGUUGGACUAUUAUGAAACCGUUCGGAUCAUCCGGAUUAUCGGAAUAAUUCGGAUUUCGAAUAAACGGAUAUAGAUAUCCGGUUUAUCCGGUUUAUCCGAAUCCGGAUAGUUGACAUCACCAACGCGCAUGUAAUAUACACAUUCGUUAUGAAUAUGAAUUUUUUUUUUUUUUUUUUGUAAAAGAUUUUCGUUAUUAUACGUUUAAUACGUAUGUAUAGGUAGUUUGCGAUGCGAAAAAUCGUUUUG